AAAGAUUUUCAACAAGCGGAAAUCCAAAAAUCAUUAUUGAAGGUGGAAAAUCAUUCAGGAGGCAAAACACUUACCCAAAUUUCUAGUUUGUCCGCCAAAUUAAAACGUAGCUCAUCUUUUUUUCCCCUAAAAAAACAACAUUUAUACAAAAAAGAAAAUUCAAUUCAUUUAUCCCUAAUCUAAAAUCAAAGAAAUCUUCCCCUCUUCUCUCCACUUCUCCUCUCUCUUUGAUCUCUACUCUCUCAGUCUCCGUCUCUCUCCAGCGUCCGCUUCGUCGGCGAUUUCUCUUCCCUUUCUCCUCCAUCAUCUCAGCCGCCGUCAGCGGAGGUGGCCAUUCACGGGGUUGCCAAACUGAGUCUCAUGACCAGCAACUCGCCAAAGCCUUGACCUUUCCUCACUUAAUCGCAAUUGGUGUUGGAUCAACAAUUGGAGCAGGGGUUUAUAUUCUUGUGGGAACAGUGGCGAGAGAGCAUCUAGGACCUGCUCUAGCCUUUUCAUUCUUUAUAGCUGGUGUUUCUGUAGCACUCUCUAGUGUUUUUCCUUCAGCUGGAAGUGCCUAUCACUACUCUUACAGGUCAAACAGUAAAGUUGUAAGAAGGUCCAAAUUUGAUGAAGUUUACUUUUGCCGCGACAUAGCAGUUUCAUCGAUGGUGAGUGGUCACAAAAGCUUCAGGAAAUUGAUUGGAUGUUGUCUUGAGUUUGCUGGUCGAGUCACAGUUCUUUGCCUACAUUGGAUUUGAUUCAGUUGCAAAUAUGGCAGACGAGGUGAAAGGUUGUGAUGCUAGAAACAGCUAAACGUAGAUAGAAUACUUGCAAGAAUGUGGGACGAAAUGGGGACUUGUGAGAGUUUAUUAUAUUAUAUGAGACUUGUGAACUGUAUUCUGAAUUAUGCAAAUUUUAUACUACUAACUAACGGUUUGUGAUAA